UUUUUGUAGAGAUGGGGUCUUACCAUGUUGCCCAGGCUGGUCUCAAACUCCUGAAAUAUCCAGAAAUACAAUUUUCUUUACAAAUUGUUUGCUACUAUUUAGAGUCAACGACAGAAAUAUUUUUGUGUAAAUAAUGUGAUGAGAAAUUUAAAUCAUUUCACUGAAAAUGCCCUUAUUCACCUUUCCUGUUUUACCUACGUUUUUGGUAAGAAUUUUGUAGAAAUUCAGAGGAGCUCUUAAUCAUCUACAAUGAAGGCAUUCAUGGAGAAUUUACUUUUGAGGUGGACUUUGAAAGAUGAAUAGAAUUUUGACACAUAAAGAUGAAGUAAUAGAAGAAAAACCUUGAACAAAGAGUGUACCAAGAAAGAGACAACAUAUUUUCUGUAAAAUACCACUCAUAUUGGAAAGUGGUUAGCCUUAGCACUGAGAAGAUUGGCUCAUGGCCAUGUAGCCUAUCUCCCAGAUGGAAGUCUAGUGUCUUGACAGUUGGUCAAUAGAAAGAUAAACUUGCUGAAGAUUUUAGUGCAAUCGAGUGAAAGCUGUACUAAUAAAGACAGAAAUUAUCUCAUGUGAAAGGAGAGAUGGGAUGUAUACAAACUUUAAAUAUGGUAGGCAAGGGAAAAGAAAUCAUAAAAAUACAUGUGAGUAAGUGUGGAGAAUCGCCAUGCUAUACAAAUUGUGAUUUUUUAAUGAUUUGGGUUUUCGGUGAUUAUUGAUUAGAUAUUCUUCUAACUUUGGUUGACUCAUUUUCUAGGCAAUGUUAGGGUAUACAGGUUAAAAUGUCAGGUAGAAAAUGAAAAUAGGGGGUUGCAGUAUGGAGUUAAGAAUACUUCAAAUAAUAGGCUAGUUUAAAGCCCUGGAAAUAGAAAUGUUAAAUAAAAAGAUUGGGGAAAAAAGGUUAAAGGCAUAAUUCUGGAAAAUACUCACUUUUUAGAGCAGAAGAAAGAUGAAGAACUAACAAACAAGCCAAUGGUGGAAAUACUACUAGAGUUUGACAUGUCAGAGAAAUCAUAGAGGAAAAUGUUUUAAGUGAGAGGCUGAAUUUAACAAACUAUAGAGAUAUCGGUAAAUAGUGUAAAGAAUAUGCACAUACAUUUUUAUUACUUUAGUAAGUAAAACUGUUCAGGCAAUUUGACAUUUAUUGAAUAAAGAAAAGCAGAAAUUUAACAAUAAGAACACAAGAAGAUAAAAUGUAGAAAAGGUAGAAUUAUAUGCUCACCUCAGAGUAAUAUAUGCCAGUGUUUCUGGUGACCAAAUAAAUGUUAAUGCAUUUCUUCCACACGAAACUAUGGAGGACAGUUUACAUUUCUGAUAUCCAUGACAUACAGGUCACACUUUAUUAUUAAUUGAUACGAUAUUUAAAAUAUUGGGAAUAAAUUCCUUUCCUUAUGAAGAAGAAAUCCCUAGAUGAAACUAAUGUAAGGAGCCAGUCGGUAUGAAUACCUCUGCAAUUGAUGAAGUUAAGGAUUUACUAUUAAAGUAUGAUAAAGAAAUAGAAGGUGCAUGAGAGAACCCAGAUAUUGCGGAAGUAAUUCAUGUAAUCAUUACCUUUUGAAGCCACAUGAUGUCGCUGUCUACCAAGAAGUUCUGGUUAGCCAAGGUUCAAAGUCCUUCCUCUGACAGCAUCUGUCUCUAAAGGCUGAACAAUGGGAGAUGCAGCGGAAUUGAAUUAAAAGACGCCAGAAAGUACAGUCGUUCAUCUUCAUAUUAAGAUAAGAUUUUCUGAUAGGAAACGACUAUUUAACAUGGUUUGUCACUGGCGAGGAGACCUGGGAUCCCGGCGACUACUACUCUCUCUUCUGCUCCUCGCAGCCUGGAAGGCAGGGAGCGGCCAGCUCCACUACUUUGUCCCCGAGGAGGCCAAACACGGCACCUUCGUGGGCCGCAUCGCGCAGGACCUGGGACUGGAGCUGGGAGAGCUGGUGCCGCGCCUCUUCCGGGUGGUAUCCAAAACACACGGGGACCUUCUGGAGGUAAAUCUGCAGAAUGGCAUUUUGUUUGUGAAUUCUCGGAUCGACCGCGAGGAGCUGUGUGGGCGGAGCGCGGAAUGUAGCAUCCACCUGGAGGUAAUCGUGGACAGGCCGCUGCAGGUUUUCCAUGUGGACGUGGAAGUGAAGGACAUUAACGACAACCCGCCAGUGUUCCCGGUAAAAGAGCAAAAGCUAUUUGUUUCAGAAUCCAGAAUGCCAGACUCUCGGUUUCCGCUAGAGAGCGCGUCUGAUGCAGAUGUUGGAGCUAACUCCGUGUUAACCUACAGGCUUAGCUCUCAUGAUUACUUCAUGCUAGAUGUGAAUUCAAAGAACGAUGAGAAUAAACUGGUUGAGCUGGUAUUAAGAAAAUCCUUGGACAGAGAGGACGCUCCGGCACACAACUUAUUCCUGACAGCCACAGAUGGCGGCAAACCUGAGCUUACAGGCAGUGUUCACCUGGUGGUCACAGUGCUGGAUGUGAAUGAUAAUGCUCCCACUUUCGAGCAGCCUGAAUACGAAGUAAGAAUAUUCGAAAACGCAGACAACGGAACAACAGUUAUCAGACUGAAUGCUUCUGAUCGGGAUGAAGGAGCGAAUGGGGCAAUUUCAUACUCUUUUAAUAGCCUUGUUGCAACUAUGGUUAUUGACCACUUUAGCAUAGAUCGAAAUACAGGAGAAAUAGUGAUUCGGGGUAAUUUGGAUUUUGAACAAGUAAAUUUAUACAAAAUCCGCGUUGACGCAACGGACAAAGGCCAUCCUCCCAUGGUGGGUCAUUGCACUGUUUUAGUGAGAAUUUUGGAUAAAAAUGAUAACGUCCCUGAGAUAACAUUGACUUCUUUAUCCUUGCCUGUGCGUGAAGACGCUCAAUUCGGUACUGUCAUCGCCCUAAUUAGCGUGAACGACCUUGGCUCAGGUGUCAGCGGGCGAGGGUGACCUGCUCCUUGACAUGUCCCACUAGGCUGGUGUCCACCUUCCAGAAUUACUACUCGUUGGUGCUGGUUAGCGCCUUGGACGCGAGGAAUGUGUCCUAUGAGCUGGUGGUGACGCGGGGCCAGGGAGCUCGCCGCUGUGGGCCUGACCAGCGUGUCCGUCUUUGCGUCGGCUGGACCAGCGAGGAGCUGGAGCUGCUGCAGUUCCAGGCCGCGGCGGGCGUCCCCAUGCCUCUGGGAAGCAUCAACAUGGCUCAGGUAUUGGUGCUGGGCGAGAAUGACAAGCGGCGCGCCGGUGCUACUGGCUGCCUGGGUGGGUGGCACUGCGGCGCAGUGGCGAGCAGUUACGCGGUUGGUGGAGUCGCGGGCCACGUGGUAGCAAAGUGGAAGCAAGCCAGGCUCCAAAAAGGCGUCUUCGAGGCGUCGACUGCUUCAUGGGUCCCAGGCCGAGCGUUAGUGGAUGUCAGCGUCUUGCCUGAUCAUUGCCAUCUGCGCAGUAUCCAGCCUUCUGGUGGCACCACGCUGCUACUAUACCUCACGCUGCGGUGCUCAUGGCGCCACCACAAAGGACGGCGGGUGGGCGAGCGCGCGCUGUCGAGCUACGUGUCGGUGCACGCGCAGAGCGGCAAGGUGUACGCUUUGCAGUCGCUGGACCAUGAGGAGCUGGAGCUGCUGCAGUUCCAGGUGAGCGCGCGCGACGCGGGCGUGCCGCCUCUGGGCAGUAACGUGACGCUGCAGGUAUUCGUGCUGGACGAGAAUGACAACGCGCCGGUGCUGCUGGCGCCUCGGGUGGGUGGCACUGACGGCGCAGUGAGCGAGCUGGUGCCGCGGUUGGUGGGUGCGGGCCACGUGGUAGCAAAGGUGCGCGCGGUGGACCCCGACUCGGGCUACAAUGCGUGGCUUUCGUAUGAGCUGCAGCCAGCAGCAAGCAGCGCUCGGUUCCCGUUCCGCGUGGGGCUGUACACGGGCGAGAUUAGCACGACUCGUGUCCUGGACGAAGCGGACUCUCCGCGCCACCGCCUGCUGGUGCUAGUGAAGGAUCAUGGUGAGCCGGAGCUGACGGCCACGGCCACCGUGCUGGUGUCGCUGGUGGAGAGCGGCCAGGCUCCAAAGGCGUCUUCGAGGCCGUCGACUGGCGCUGUGGGUCCCAAGGCGGCGUUGGUGGAUGUCAACGUGUACCUGAUCAUUGCCAUCUGCGCGGUAUCCAGCCUUCUGGUGCUCACGCUGCUACUGUACACUGCGCUGCGGUGCUCAGCGCCGCCCACUGAGGGUGGGUGCCCGGCAGGCAAGCCCACUCUGGUGUGCUCCAGUGCGGUGGGGAGCUGGUCAUACUCGCAGCAACAGCGGCAGAGGGUGUGCUCUGGUGAGGGGCCACUGAAGACGGACCUCAUGGCCUUCAGCCCCAGCCUUCCUCCUGAUCUGGGAUCAGUUGAUGUAGGCGAACAGCAAGAUUUAAAUGUUGAUCAUGGCCUCAAAGUAAGUCCAUUUAAAUUUAGAACUCAGAAAUUCUAUUUGUGGAAAUUGUAAUUACUUUAAAAGUGUUUCAUAUGUAUUUUUCACCGUAUUAUAUAGUGAAAAUUUAAACAUUGUUUUAGUUUUUAGAAACCUUUUAUAAUUAAUUGAAUUUUCUCAGUGGCAUAAUACAGUAUUAAUCAUUCUCCACAAGUUGGGUCUAUCUUGAAACUCAAGUUAUGGUUGGAUGAUAUCCUUUUUUUACUGAGCAUUUAUUUUGGUCUUCUCUGAACAAUGCUCUAGCAACGUCCAGGAUAUUUUGAUCUUUGGUGAAUGUAUUCUCCCAAAACAUUUAUUCUUUUGUCCUUAGGCACUGAACUCUUAAUCUUACUCCAUAUGCUGUACUUUGAAAUGCAUGUUUUAAAUAUGUUGUCGUUAUUUUUUCUUUUAUUCACUUUAACAUCUCAGUUUAUUCAUCCUAUUAUCUGACUUUCUGGUGUCUGGUAAUCACAAAUAUCUUUGGUGUUUCACUAUUGCCGUUUUAAGCAAUAUAGUGAUAAAAUACAGAAUAAUAGUGUUUUUCAAAAUUUGAUAGUUUUCAUAUACUUCCUAAUUUUUUUUAUAAACUAGCAAAAAAGUAAAAUCAAGAGGGAAGAGAUUUGUAAUGCUUCUUUUAAGUCAUUAUUUAGACCAUUUUACUAUUUGGGGACGUGUUUUUUAUUCUACACGAUUUUUACAGUUGGGGUGUCGACAACUUAACAUUUUUUGAGCCUCUAUGUUUAGAAAAUGAUUACUUUACUCUUGCAAGUAUCUUCUAAACUCUAAUCAUUCAAUCCUUUGUUCAAGAGUUGGUAUCUUCUCAAUAAUAUUCCACAUUAAAGUGAUAUUUAAUAUGACUUAGAAAAAUGUUUUCAUCAGAAACACUAUACAUGGUAAUUUCAUUCUUGCAAACCAAACAUAUAAUUUAUAAAUCUUUAUUAUACAGAAUAUUUGGGAUUAUCAUGGCCCAUUAGUUUGUGUAAAAAUAUUUAGCUUUAUGGGAUAAAUCUUUGAAAAAUCCAAGAUACUUUAUUUUGAUGUCUUUCAAUGUUUUCUUUCUUUUCUUUCCUCUUGUCUUUUUACCUUUGCUUCUUGUGACUAUUUCACCUGCCUUGAUAUUAAAUACCCAUUAGACUUUGAGCAUGUUGCUUUGGAGGAAAUGGUGGAACUUGAUGGAAGGGAAUGAAGGAUUUCUGGGACUCUGAAUUCUUACAGUUUGUUAUUAGCAUUAUUUUAAAUCUUUUAAUCCCUUAAGAACCAAUAAUGUAAUCAUUUAUGGGCAUGUUUUAUCCCCCUUGUCCACCUGAAGGUAACCUCAAAGCAGAAUUAUUUUGUAGUUGAUUUUAAUGUUCUCUUAAUGCCUGUCCAUGUUUAACAUUUCAUUUGACUAUUAGAACACAUUACAUGAAAGCAAAUUGUUUUCUUUUCUUUUUUCUUUUUUUUUUUUGAGACGGAGUCUGGCUCUGUCUCCCAGGCUGGA